CGUCAUCGAUCUGUUGCGGACAAAUGAAAUGGAUGUGCGAAUCGACCCCGCCGGCAGUGACGAUCAUGCCUUCGCCGGCGAUGAUCUCGGUCGCGCCACCGAUGGCCAUCGUGACGUUCGGCUGGAUGUCCGCAUUGCCGGCCUUGCCGAUGGCGGCGAUGCGGCCGUUCUUCAGGCCAAUGUCGGCCUUGACGAUGCCCCAGUGGUCGAUGAUGACGGCGUUGGUGAUGACGGUGUCCAUCACGUCAGCAUGAUUGCGCUGCGACUGGCCCAUGCCGUCGCG
rnacentral:sRNA from 1 species